GUUACGGUGGUGUAAGGCGAACAUCGCUGCCCGGAAGGCAGAAGAUGCGGGUUCGAGUCCCGCCUGGCGCA
rnacentral:tRNA from 1 species